rfam:Pirellula staleyi DSM 6068, complete genome.
GGGGGCGAACUGGAUUCGACCGGAUAGCCUGAAGCGAAUACGGCGUGCCGUGGUUGAUCAGAUGGCCACGUAAAAAGCUGAUCACAAACUUAACUGCCGAGAGCAAUCUCGCACUUGCUGCCUAACUAAACGGUAGCUUCCGACUGAGGGCUUUAGCCGGAGAGGCCCAAAAGUUGGUCACCAAAUCCGGACCGCCUCGUGCCAUGAUCGAAACGCACGAGGUCAAAAAAGUUUCGAUCUAGUGCAGGGUGUAGCCAGCAGCUAGGCGACAAACUGUGCAAAAAUCAAAUUUUCUGCUACGCACGUAGAUGUGUUCGUGAAAAUGUCUCGGGACGGGGGUUCAAUUCCCCCCGCCUCCACUG